GUGGAUAUAGCUUAACAGUAGAGCACCUGCUUAGGAUGCAUGAGGUCCUGGAUUCAAUCCCCAGUACCUCCA
rnacentral:tRNA from 1 species